CCGCCGGCGACCGGCGCACGGGUGAGUAACACGUAUGCAACCUGGCCGUAACAGAUGGAUAACCGGGAGAAAUCCCGCCUAAUACAACAUAAUGCCGGGAGGGGACAUCCCCUGCCGGCCAAAGGGGGCGACCCCGGUCACGGAUGGGCAUGCGGCGCAUUAGGUAGUUGGUGGGGCAACGGCCCACCAAGCCGACGAUGCGUAGGGGUUCUGAGAGGAAGGUCCCCCACAUUGGAACUGAGACACAGUCCAAACUCCUACGGGAGGCAGCAG
rnacentral:rRNA from 1 species